CGAGGAAUAUUCUUGGAUAUAUUGCUUCGCCUCAAUAUUAAAAGAAGUUGAUUGAAUCUUCUGAGUUCUGGAGACGAAUAAUCGAAAACAUUAUUCGAAACAUUUCUCGUUGUGGAAUCUGUAAUAUACGACCGACAGUGGAAAUGCAUUUAGUCUAUUAUUUCACGAGGUGACGUCAGGAAAUGCACGCAUUGAUUUGCAUAUUACGGAGAGAAACAUACGAUGUCUCUCAACGAAGGAAAUGAGUGCGAUAAAAAUCAAUUGAGAAGGUGAAAAUCGUUCCAGGAGACCAUUAAGAUUCAUUAUGAGCAAAGGUAUGAAUGGAAUACCUUCAUUCGAAUCAAAAAUUGUCUAUUGUAUAGUUGCUACCUGACAAACGAUAUCAUGUUUAGACGAUAUCUUUCUACCACCUGUCCUGCAAGAUAACUGACCUAACUUCUCAAGAAGAAUAAUCACGUACUGCAUGAGGUUCAAUAUACUGCAAUAUUUGCUAUAGAGUUUAUAUAGCACUGCGACCUACAAUGGGUUCUAGUGUGUUUUGUUUUUUUAUUCCUGGUCGAUAUAAUAAAUUACGUGAUGCCUGAGACUGUUUCAUAUUCUCAUGAAUGUAACAAGCACUUCAUAUUCUCGAAUUUCAAAUAACUCGCUUCGAAGUUCCAGUUUUACUUCCUGUGACAUUUAGUUAAUUAAAAUUUUUAGUGCAAAUACACAUGUCAACGCUAGACGCGGUCCGAAAAACCUCGUCUUUUAAAACUCUCUUCUCAUUCUCUCAUCAUUUUACAGUAUAACGUACACUGUCCCUCAAAAUUAUGUUGAUAUUUUCUUAACUCUAGUAACUAUCUAAAAAAGUUACGAAAUCCAACGAAAUCAUCCAAAUGAAAUCAAACGAAAUUUUAUGUAUUCCAUUUUCUCCCAAAAUCAAAAUAUAUUUGAUCAAUAAUUCAUUACAUAUUACAAGUAAUUAUAUCUUUAGGCUAUUAAUUACUUUAUUGUUCACGUUUUAAUAUCAUUCCACACCUUUUUUUAAUAAUUACCAUGAGUGUUUUCGAAACCUUUCGACGAUAAAGGAAUAUAAUCCAGGGUAAACACAUACAUUUCUAGUUAUUUCACGAAUUUAAAUAAUCAAACUACCCAACGAAGCUAUUGUUCACCAAACUUGGUACAACAUUUUCCACUUAAAAUCACGUAACGAAAACUUAUAUACACAGAUUCGUUAAAAAUGGUAAGUGUUCGCAUACUUUUGACCGGCAGUGUACGUAUCCGCGGCUGUCUACUUAAAAAUUGAAAAGUCGAGAGUCGGGGGGUCGAGGGAUCAUCGGUCCGGAGCUGCCAGACUAGAAAAAGGGUUGCAGACUCCGCAACCAGCCGCGGUGGGAAGACGGUAACUUCGUUAACCAAUUGGCCGCGAUACAAGUCAAGACACUCGGAUCCUCCCCCGCAUCCGUGGAAGCGAUUUUCCGUAAGUGGUGGUCGCCUGAACGCCGAAAUCUCCAUUCUAGGGUAACUACGUCGGUUGGUUAAUCACCGUGCGGUAUAAUCAGCGGCCUGGCACCGCGAUUAUGUUACGGCUGUAAAGUGCAUAAUGCAUCGCGUCGAUGCAGAAAUUGUUUUCGGCGUUGCGCAUCCGAAUGCGCGGCCGGCCGCGUAGUUGAUAUCAAUUAAGAGCGUGCCCCUCCGCGAAAGGGGCGACGACAGACCAGGGGGCGGGAGGCUAGGAAGGGAGGGAAGGGAAGGGUAGACGGGGGUUUCGACCAGAAUCGGUGCGCCAGAAUUCGGUAAAUUAUUUAACAAAAUUACCGUAGCGUACGUUAGUUGCGCUAAUGGCAUCGGUUUGCGCUCCGUCGAAAGUUCUACGAGUGUCGUUUAGUUCGCGGUUUGGCAGGGACCCGUGUGUAUUUUACCGUCUCCCGCAUGGAAACGCUCGAUAACAGCGGCCCUGGUACCCCGACGAAUGGGAAGUCUUUACAAAGCGACUGACACGGAUAAUGAACGACUCGAUUGACAACACGUUGAUGCCUACUUUGCACCUCGAAACGUUUACCCGUAACCCGCCACGCGGGAUCGAUAGGAAAAUAGUCGUACUGCAUCGGCGGUGCAUAUACUAAAAUUGGAACGACACAGAGAAGAUUAGCGUGGUCCCUGCGCGAGGA